rnacentral:rRNA from 1 species
CGAUAAGUAAUGUGAAUUGCAGAUACUCGUGAAUCAUUGAAUUUUUGAACGCACAUUGCGCCCUUGAGCAUUCUCAGGGGCAUGCCUGUUUGAGCGUCAUUUCCUUCUCAAAAGAUAAUUUAUUAUUUUUUGGUUGUGGGCGAUACUCAGGGUUAGCUU